GAGAUUCCUACCAAAAAAAGGAGAAAAAUGUCCACAUCCUCUCAGAAACCAUCAAGCCUCCCAAAGCCUCCAAGUUACAAACCACCUCCUGACAUCACAGCUCACUCCGCUGAGGAAGAUGAGCCAUCCCUGCCAAAUCUUUCUGCUAAUAAUACUUUUCAUGAUUUCCAGCAUCUCAUCGAGCAAUCUGAGCAGCGGAUGCUCCUCGCAAUAGAGAGAAUGUCGACAGAUAUUUCUAAUUCUAUUGAGCGUCUGAUCCAGGCUAUUCAACAGAAUCGUCCUGGUCCGGCAACCAUCACAACACCACCACAGGAAACCAUUGAGAGGCCCUGCAAAACAUUGCAGGAGCUGCAAGCUUUCAUAUUAAAACUUGAGGACCCAGAAGGGAAAAAAGGAUGAUACAGUUUUUGAGCCUGAUGGGAGGUAGCAACAUUGGAGACGCUGUGAGGAGAAUCCUUCGGAAAAUAGCCACCAAUGAGGUCUGGUCAAAUUACAGCCUUAAAGGCCGAAAAGGAAAACUGACUUUCAUUGGG